rnacentral:sRNA from 1 species
GCUGGAUGUGGUGGCGCAUGCCUGUAAUCCCUGUAGCUCAGGAGGCUGAGACAGGAGGAUCACAAGCUUAAAACCAGCCUCAGCAAGUUAGAGAGGCCCUAAGCAACUCAGCAAUACUCUGUCUCAA